rnacentral:rRNA from 1 species
GUGGGGAAUUUUGGACAAUGGGCGCAAGCCUGAUCCAGCCAUGCCGCGUGCAGGAUGAAGGCCUUCGGGUUGUAAACUGCUUUUGUACGGAACGAAAAAGCUCUCUCUAAUACAGGGGGUGAAUGACGGUACCGUAAGAAUAAGCACCGGCUAACUACGUGCCAGCAGCCGCGGUAAUACGUAGGGUGCAAGCGUUAAUCGGAAUUACUGGGCGUAAAGCGUGCGCAGGCGGUUAUGUAAGACAGAGGUGAAAUCCCCGGGCUCAACCUGGGAACUGCCUUUGUGACUGCAUAGCUGGAGUGCGGCAGAGGGGGAUGGAAUUCCGCGUGUAGCAGUGAAAUGCGUAGAUAUGCGGAGGAACACCGAUGGCGAAGGCAAUCCCCUGGGCCUGCACUGACGCUCAUGCACGAAAGCGUGGGGAGCAAACAGGAUUAGAAACCCUGGUAGUCC